ensembl:lncRNA
AUGUUGUUGACUCAGAUCAAAGUUUUAUGGGUUGUCCUGUGUCUCGUUGGCUUCAGGGAGCCCUGGAAAACCUCAGAUGUUUCAGCUGUUCUGCACGAAGGACUCGCACAUCAAGGGUUUAUCAGAUCUGUGAGUGAUUCUAACCUGAUGUUUGAGGAUCAAGAAAUUGCAUCUAUGCGACAAGGGCGAGCUUUCUUAUCUCUCAUAAACGACAGUAUCCCAAAGACUGUGUCUGCAAUGGAGAAGUUUCUGGCUAUGCUGGAAGAGCAAGACAAGUCUUUCACUCAGGCCCGUUUUGAGACCCUCCUCCUCGGGACUAUCUAUUCAGCCUACCAGGCACGAAAUCAGAGGCUGGAGUCAGAGCAGCAGGCCUGGAUGGAUAUUCUUGGUCGUUUUGCAAAUAAUACUUUUGUUCAGCUACGCAAGUCUUAA